UACGUAGGGACCGAGCGUUGUCCGGAAUCAUUGGGCGUAAAGAGCGUGUAGGCGGCCACUUAAGUCCUGCGUGAAAUCUUGCGGCUCAACCGCAAGCGGUCGUGGGAAACUGGGUGGCUAGAGUGCGGGAGAGGAGAGUGGAAUUCCUGGUGUAGCGGUGGAAUGCGCAGAUAUCAGGAAGAACACCCGUGGCGAAGGCGGCUUACUGGUCCGGUACUGACGCUGAGGUGCGAAAGCGUGGGGAGCAAACAGG
rnacentral:rRNA from 1 species